UACAGAGGUGGCGAGCGUUGUUCGGAUUUACUGGGCGUAAAGGGAGCGUAGGCGGCAUUGUGUGUCGUAUGUGAAAUCCCCGGGCUCAACCUGGGAAGUGCAUGCGAAACUGCAGUGCUAGAGCAGAGGAGGGGAGAGCGGAAUUCAUGGUGUAGCGGUGAAAUGCGUUGAUAUCAUGAGGAACACCCGAGGCGAAGGCGGCUCUCUGGAAUCUUGCUGACGCUCAGGCGCGAAAGCCGGGGGAGCAAA
rnacentral:rRNA from 1 species